UUGGAAAUAAUUUUUUUUAUUUAAUGAAACUGGAUGGAGCUACUGCAGCGAUGCUUAUUGAAACCACAGCCAUGAUCGAGACCGAAAUUAAACUGAACCAUAGAUGCAGAAUUCUAUUCAACCAUAAAAUUGUGUUUUGCAGAAAGUUUUAAAAGCAAAGCUGCUUUCAUUUCAGCAGUAUCUGUUUCUUAUUUCCUAUUGGUAGAACCAGCAAUGAUUUUUUUUUGUGCUUACACAGAAACGAAAAUGGUGGCUACGAUGUGUUUGUUUUUGUUACGUGUUGCAUUGAAUUAUUCUCAAGGAAGUGUUCCCGCAGAUACCAAUUACUUUUUCUGCGGUGUAGGGCUAGGUAGAUAAUGUAAAGCUUUUGCUAAUCUCUGGACAAGACCUCUCGGUACUUAAAGAAUGUGGACGCUGGACGAUGAGAGAAAAAAAAAACUCAGUGUAGGCCUGUAUGUGGUGAAAGUGAAAGGUGUUAUUUGGGCUAUUUGUUUGUGCGUUGGUAAUAAAUAAUCGUGAAAUGUGGACGUACACAUUGCAGGAGUGCUUCGGCUCAGAAUAAGGGAGAUGAACACGAGUUCCUAAACUGAGGGUGGACAGUUUGCUGAUUGUGCUAUGUUAAAUAAAAAUUGAGUGCUUACAUUGUUAAA